rnacentral:rRNA from 1 species
GUGAGUAACACGUGGGUAACCUGCCUCAAAGAGGGGGAUAGCCUCCCGAAAGGGAGAUUAAUACCCCAUAACAUUAUUUUUUCGCAUGAAGAGAUAAUCAAAGGAGUAUUUUGCUUUGAGAUGGACCCGCGGCGCAUUAGCUAGUUGGUGAGGUAAUGGCUCACCAAGGCAACGAUGCGUAGCCGACCUGAGAGGGUGAUCGGCCACAUUGUUUUUUAGAUACGGNCCAGACUCCUACGGGAGGCAGCAGUGGGGAAUAUUGCGCAAUGGGGGAAACCCUGACGCAUUUUUUUUUUUUUGGGCGAAGAAGGCCCCCGGCCCGCAAAUUUUUGUCUUCUGGGACGCCCCUGACGGUACCAUAGUAGGAAGCCACGGCUAACUACGUGUCAUUUGUGGUGGUUUGUGGGCGAAUUUUUUUAAUUCUGCU